rnacentral:rRNA from 1 species
GACGUAGGGCGCAAGCGUUGUCCGGAUUUAUUGGGCGUAAAGAGCGUGUAGGCGGCCAGGUAGGUCUGCUGUGAAAACUCGAGGCUCAACCUCGAGACGUCGGCGGAAACCAUCUGGCUAGAGUCCGGAAGAGGAGAGUGGAAUUCCUGGUGUAGCGGUGAAAUGCGACAGAUAGUCAGGAGGAACACCGGUGGCGAAGGCGGUUCUCUGGGCA